UACGAAGGGGGCUAGCGUUGUUCGGAAUUACUGGGCGUAAAGCGUGCGCAGGCGGUGGCUCAAGCCAGGCGUGAAAUCCCCGGGCUUAACCUGGGAAUGGCGUUUGGGACUGGGUCGCUAGAGUGUGGCAGAGGGAGGUGGAAUUCCACGUGUAGCAGUGAAAUGCGUAGAGAUGUGGAGGAACACCGAUGGCGAAGGCAGCCUCCUGGGCCAGCACUGACGCUCAUGCACGAAAGCGUGGGGAGCAAACGGG
rnacentral:rRNA from 1 species